rnacentral:lncRNA from 1 species
UACAAAAAUGUAAAAAUUAGGCAGGUAUGGUGGUGUGUGCCUGUAGUCCCAGCUACUCAGGAGGCUGAGGUGGGAGGAUCUCUUGAGCCUAAGAGGCCAAGGCUGCAGUGAGCCGUGAUUGCACCACUGCACUCCAGCCUGGGUGACAGAGCAAGGCUGUCUCUAAAAACGAAACAAAACAAAACAAGAAUGGAUUCUAGAGUCAGAAUGCCCAGUUUAAAUACCAUUUACUAGCUUUGCAACUUUGGGCAAACUCCCUAACAUCUCUUUGAUUCAUACUCAUCUAUAAAAUGUACCAAUAACAGUAACUCCUUCACAGGGCUUGGGGGGAUUAAAUCAGCUAAGACGUUUAAGGUACUUAGAACAGAGCCUGGCACAUAGUAUGUGCUCAAUAAGUAUUAGACGAUACGAAAGUUUUAUUUACUCUAUUUCAUAAAAAUUUUCUCAUUAACUUUGUUAUAGCUAACUCUCUACAAUUUUGCCAAUCUUGUUAUAACUAACCUAUUUUUAUUUUAAAAACUUUUAAAAUUUCCUUAAGUCGGGAAAAAGCAAUCUUCUAUCAUGCAUAGGUUGUAAAUACAAACAGAUAUUAUAGCAGAAUCAUUAUUAAAGCACAUCAGAAACACAACCUUCUUUUUUAUUUUAUUUUAUUUUUUUUUGAGACAGGGUCUCUAUUGCCCAGACUGGAGUGCAGUGAUGGAAUCUCAGCCCACCACAACCUCUGCCUCCGGGUUCAGCUAUUCUCCUGCCUCAGCCUCCCGAGUAGCUGGGAUUACAGUCGCGUGCCACUACCGCGCAGCUAAUUUUUGUAUUUUUAGUAGAGACGGGGUUUCACCAUGUUGGUCAGGCUGGUCGUGAACGCUUCUCAUGCAAAGCUCCUCACCCAGGUUUGCCUUAAGCAGGAGGUCCCAGUGUUUCAGCCCAGUAAGUACCUGUGAUGUCAAAAUGCUGUGAUACUUACAUAUGGAAGCAGAAAUCCCAGUCGAUGUCAUUGCUAACAGUUGGGAUACGGAUGGGGCUGGCUUGCAUCUUCUUCCUACCAAGAAUCAGGUCUGACGGCGUGUUGGAUUUAAGCAAAGCAACCAACUCUCAGUGGUAAACGAAGCACAGCCAGUGUAUUGGUUAAUUCUGCUUUCCCCCCCCCCCCCGGGGUCAUUUCACUAAUUAAUAGCAGAUUCUAGUACAGGGGUCACGAGGCGGGUACAGAGGCUCACGCCUGUAAUCCCAGCACUGUGGGAAGCCGAGGCGGGUGGAUCACCCGAGUUCAGGAGUUCGAGACCAG